rnacentral:lncRNA from 1 species
GACUUUGUUGCCUGCAUUUCCCUGGAGCAGUCCCCAUCCGCUUAUGAAACUAGUCUGGUGUUAUGAUGGCAGAGUCCCCAUCCGCUUAUGAAACUAGUCUGGUGUUAUGAUGGCAGAUGGCAGGAAAACCUGACAAAAAUUUAUUUACAUCAAUAAGUUGUUUAGUCCAAUCAUGGUGGUUGUUUAUACUGGAAAUAGCUUGUGCAAAUCGGAAUCACGUCUUCUCAUCACACGCCCCAGGUGCUGUUUGAAUGCAUGCAAGCACGUGAACAUCACAUGCAAGCACGUGAACACAAAUGAAAACGGAUGCCUGAGGUUGACUUCAGAUUGUGAGAUGCUUGCUGUAUGAGAUUUGAUGUCUGCAUUGUUGCUGUGCAGCACCCAUGCAUAAUAUUCGAUGACAAUGCUUGCAUUUGACAAAAUUUUCAAGUGUGGCAAAUCUGCCAGAUAGGACGCAAAUGCUUCCAUACAUGAUAAUGACGGGCACCAGCUAAACAAAAUAAUUAAUUUUAUGUAGAUCUGAUGGCAUUAUGUAAAAUAACAGAAGAUCCUAUAUUUCCACGUCAUGUACAUGGAAAACAAAUUUAAAAGUGUGUAAGUGGAAAACAAAUUUAAAAGUGUGAAGUUAGAGGAUUAAUGGUGGGACUGUCGUAUGGUCUCUCUGUAUAUAUAUAGCGUACAUGUGAGAUACAAC